rnacentral:rRNA from 1 species
UACAGAGGUCCCGAGCGUUGUUCGGAUUCACUGGGCGUAAAGGGUGCGUAGGUGGUGAGGUAAGUCGGAUGUGAAAUCUCCAAGCUCAACUUGGAAAUGGCAUUGGAAACUACCUUGCUGGAGGUUUGGAGGGGGGACUGGAAUUCUCGGUGUAGCAGUGAAAUGCGUAGAUAUCGAGAGGAACACCAGUGGCGAAGGCGAGUCCCUGGACAAAACCAGACACUGAGGCACGAAAGCUAGGGGAGCAAACAGG